UACGUAGGGUGCAAGCGUUAAUCGGAAUUACUGGGCGUAAAGCGUGCGCAGGCGGUUUUGUAAGUCUGUCGUGAAAGCCCCGGGCUCAACCUGGGAAUUGCGAUGAAGACUGCAAGGCUUGAAUCUGGCAGAGGGGGGUAGAAUUCCACGUGUAGCAGUGAAAUGCGUAGAUAUCAAGAGGAAUACCGGAGGCGAAGGCGGCCAACUGGGAGAAUAUUGACGCUGAGGUGCGAAAGCGUGGGGAGCAAACAGG
rnacentral:rRNA from 1 species